rnacentral:rRNA from 1 species
CCCUUAGAUGUCCUGGGCCGCACGCGCGUUACACUGAUGCAUUCAACGAGCUUAUAACCUUGGCCGAGAGGCCUGGGCAAUCUUGUUAACGUGCAUCGUGAUAGGGAUAGAUUAUUGAGAUUAUUAAUCUUGAACGAGGAAUUCCUAGUAAACGCAGAUCAUCAAUCUGCAUUGAUUACGUCCCUGCCCUUUGUACACACCGCCCGUCGCACCUACCGAUUGGAUGGUCCGGUGAAGCCUCGGGAUUGUGGUUCUUGCCGCUUUAUUGUGGCGUGACCGCGAGAACUUGUCUAAACCUUAUCAUCUAGAGGAAGGUGAAGUCGUAACA